rnacentral:rRNA from 1 species
AACGCGAAGAACCUUACCUGGCCUUGACAUCCUGGGAACCCUGCAGAGAUGCGGGGGUGCCUUCGGGAACCCAGAGACAGGUGCUGCAUGGCUGUCGUCAGCUCGUGUCGUGAGAUGUUGGGUUAAGUCCCGCAACGAGCGCAACCCUUGUCCUUAGUUGCCAGCAUUCAGUUGGGAACUCUAAGGAGACCGCCGGUGACAAACCGGAGGAAGGUGGGGAUGACGUCAAGUCAUCAUGGCCUUUAUGGCCAGGGCUACACACGUGCUACAAUGGUAGGAACAGAGGGAAGCCAACGCGCAAGCGGGAGCCAAUCCCAGAAAACCUAUCGUAGUCCGGAUUGGAGUCUGCAACUCGACUCCAUGAAGUUGGAAUCGCUAGUAAUCGCAGAUCAGCAUUGCUGCGGUGAAUACGUUCCCGGGCCUUGUACACACCGGCUAC